UUUUUUAUUUCAAUAAAUUUUAUUUAAAAAAAGUAUGUAUGUUUACUUAAGGUUAACCGGAUAGUCGAAAAUUAGCGAUUAAUUCAAUAGUCGACGACUUACGACAAUCCGGAUACUGUAAACCGAAUAUUAUUCUAAUAAUGCCCUAUUCGGUUAAUGCGGUUAGUCGAUUAGUCGAAUACCAAGAUUCAAUUUUUAUGUUGUUUUUAUAGCAGCACAACAAAUAUUCCCUAAAUGUUUUAAAACAAUUUCGUGUAGGUGAUAUUUCUUGGUCCCUUCCGAUUGCGGAAAUAGUUUUAGUGGCUUCCUCCUAGUUAAGUUAA